UACAGAGGUCUCAAGCGUUGCCCGGAAUCACUGGGCGUAAAGCGCACGUAGGCGGAUUGUUAAGUCAGGGGUGAAAUCCUGGAGCUCAACUCCAGAACUGCCUUUGAUACUGGCGAUCUCGAGUCCGGGAGAGGUGAGUGGAACUGCGAGUGUAGAGGUGAAAUUCGUAGAUAUUCGCAAGAACACCAGUGGCGAAGGCGGCUCGCUGGCCCGGUACUGACGCUGAGGUGCGAAAGCGUGGGGAGCAAACAGG
rnacentral:rRNA from 1 species